rnacentral:lncRNA from 1 species
GAGGAUGAACAUGAACAUUAUGUCAGUAAUUACAAACAUUUGAAGGUAGUAUAAUAAGAAUUUGAGGGAAUCAACAGUAGAAGUUACCGAGUUACAUCUCAAGUUUUUGCUUAUAGCAAUCUUCACAUGCCCUAUUCUAGAACACAGUAUAACUUUUUAAUGCACAUAACUGAAGACCCAGAUCAUAUAGAAUAGAUCAAAAGAAAGAAACUCAGCUCAUUUGCCAGCAGAAUAUAUUUAAUCAAGAUAUACCUUGAUCAACUUUUUACAGAACGUAUCAUGUACAAUAAAUAAUCAAAUACAUCUCUUUACAGUGGAGGAGCUGGUGUUGGCAGUUUCAAGCUCAAACCAAAAAUCAAGAGCCAUAUAAGCAGUCUUCUCCUUUAUGUCACAGAUAGUUCUAUUGUCAGCAGUUAAGCCAGUUAAUUCUUACCUAGAAGUUUAGCAAAAAUAAUUAACCCAGAAGUUUAGCAAAAGCUACGUAAUAGACAGAACGUUCGAAAAUAUAUGAGCUAAACAGAGUUUGCGAAUAAUAAAAGUAUUCCCAUGAAUGUUUUUGGUAGCCCCUUGGAAACAAUAUAUUUUAAGAAAUCCCGGGGUGGCAUUGUACUAUAAAUUUUCCUUUGUUUGGAAGUAACUGAUAUAUUUUUUUAGCUCGAGAAACAUAACCUAUCAAAUGAAAAGUAACGUUAAUGUUAAUGAGAGUAGAUUAAUUUAACCAUCUGAGUAUACUUAUACAUACCCACAAGACAUUAUGCGUGUAAACAAAUAUAAUUUAUACCAGAAAUCUUUCAGGAAAGGAAGAUAACAAUGUGGUUUUGCUGACCUUCUUCAAGGGAUAAUGAAAGAUUGAUAAUUGUAAGAGCACUUCUUUUUCAAGGUCAGCUAUCAACUUCUAGAGAUGAGCAUGCAUUACUUAAAUGAUGAAGGAGUUUCCAUUUUUUAUAUUCAACUCUUUUAUCUCUUAGUUGCCACAAAAUAAUUAUUUUUUCAUUCCUUUCUUUGAGGCCUCUAGCAUAACUCCAAAGUACAUUUGCUUCGGGCUAUUUCAAAUAGUCUAUAGUUUAGUUAUAUUAAUUUUAUAGGUUAGUAUAAUCUGAACCAUAUUUUAAAUUUAUCAUUUGGUUUAAAGAAAGUUAAAAAAAUAGUAAGAUACUCUAAUAGAAAGACAGAUGAGAACAACGACAUACAUUUGAGACAUAUUUCUUUGACACAAUAAUACAUGAUAGAGAUAUGUUAUUGAAUGAUGGUGUCUACCAGAAGUAAAUAACGUACCUUUUGAGUUAUUGAAUGAUGAAUCAGAAUGUUGUGGUAAACCUGUUGUAAAAGAAAUAGAAUAAAAUUUUGUUAGUAGGUUCACGCAUAUAUUCAAACAUCUUGGAUGUACCUAGUGCGACAGUACUAAAAGUUAUUUAUAUGAAUUUGAUGUGUACAAAAGUACAUAAGAAAGAAUGUAUAAAAGGAUAUACAAUGGGAACAACAAAUACCCCAGAAGAAAUUCCUACUACGUGUGUCUAUGCAUUAAUAAAAUUAAAGCUAUAAGCCUAUAACCACCAAAUAUAAUCUAUUUUCUCAGUCAAUUUGGAGAUAAUUUUCAGUAAUUUUAAAAAAUAAGUUAGGCCCAACAACUAAUUACACAUCAACCAUUGAACUUGAAUUAUAGUCGGAUCACCAUACUAAACAUGUCAGAGAGGGGAGAAACUAAAGAAAAUACAAUAUAUACAUGCUCUAGAAGAUAGUUGCAGCUGCUAAUCAUCACUACAUAGUGUUAGUUUUUUCAUGAAUUUAAUUUCGAUUCUAUACCUAAAAAUAAUAAUAGAGAAGCAAAGAGUAGCAUAAGCAACGAUGGAAGCGACCAAACACAAGCAGAACAUAGGAACUUCUGUGGUGUUAUUUCUCAAAAAGACUCAGUAAAAUAGUGAAGGCUCAAUAGGAAGAGGAAGAGCAACUGCAGGCAAAACAGUAGAAGCUGAAAGCUAGAUUUGUCUACGAAAGAGCAAAUGAAGAAGAGAAUGUGCGUACUACUGAGUAGCUUCUGAAAAUUCAAUAAAAACGAAGGAAUGAUCGAAAAUACCAUUAAGCCGCCAAUUGGCAGAGCUUUAAGUCAUACAGGAGAGGGUCAAAAUUCGCAAAGCAUAAGCAGAAUUUUUUUUUAAAAUCUCGAUAUUGACUUUGACAAUUAAACUUACAGUCAAUUCAUAGAAAUUACAAAGUAUAUACACAUAACAUCCCAUAUAAUCUUUUUAGCAGGAUAAAUUGACUUUGACAAUUAAACUUGCAGUCAAUUCACUGCAGUUUUUUCAGCAAUAUACUCCUCUUCCUUUAUCAUGCUACCAUCUUCUUGAAGAUGUUUUCAGUUGUUUUAUCUUCACCAUGCAUUAGUGCUGCAGCAAUACUCUACAAGCUAGUACCAUAUUUAUACUGAUUAUUCCUCCUAGUCAUGGUAAGCACUUCUUGAGCUUUACCAAACCCAUACAUCCUUACCUCCAUAUUACAAAGAGACACAUAUAGGAAACGACAAUGAAAUGCUUAAUUUAGACCAGUUCAUAUACCUAUAUAUCUUAUGCCUUCUAAAGUUUCCAAGAAAAAGAAUUGUUAUGAUUACAACUAUUGGUUGGGAUUGUUCUAUUCAAAACACUUCUCCUCCUUCUACAACCUUUUUCAAGAUAUUUUGAUUUGGCCCAUUAGGGUCCUUAAUAUUCAAGGAUUCAUCUUAGCUAGAAACUAAAUAAUUAUAAAAUCAAUAAACAAUGUCUUUCUUAAAUCCUAGUCUCAGUCUAUAUAGCUUUAAACUUUGUAACCGGCAGCUAUCCAGCUACAUCAGAUAACAAAAGUGCACAUUUCACAUUUUUUCCUAGCAAUUUCAACCAAGACAACACAUUCUCCAACUGAGUCUCUCCAUCUCUCAAAAAUACCUAAUAUUCUCUUUUUGAUGAGGGCACAUCGAGUACGCGAGCUUCAAAAAAGUUCUUCCUACAUAUGUCUAUGCAUUAAUAAAGUUAAAACUCUAAGCUUGUAACUACCAAUCGUUUUGGAGAUACCUUUACAGAAAUUUUACUGUUAGUUGUAAAGGACUACAAAUUGUAGUGCUAAUAAGAAGAUUUAUCAUAUUUCUAUAAAAAAUAAAAUUAAUUAAGAGGACAGAGGACGGGGACAAAUGAGAAAAGUAAAAAAAAAAAGUAGUUGAUUUAGGCAUAUUAUCAGACAUUACAGAUGGCAUGUGAAACUCCAACAAGAAAGGGAAAUCGCCUAAUACCCACCAAAAUAGCAUUAGCGGCAAUAUACAUUGUAGAAAAGAAGAAGCAAGAAUUAUAAAAAAAUUCACCACAACUGUAACACACAUACCAGAGACAACAUAGAAUUGAAAUUGAGUAAAUUUAGGCAUAUUGAAAAGAAAUCGUCAAGUAUAGAUCCCAAUGUACAAAAAGUUCAAGACAAUAAAAACUAUCAGAACUAUAAAGCACAUACAUAGAUAAUAUGAAAUUGAAAUUGAACAAUUUUGAAGUUUGAAAAGAGAUUUUCAACUACAUAUGUCACACCAAGCAAGAGGAAAUUUUAGAAUUUUGAAAAGUAAUUUUCAACUAUAGAUGACACACCAAGCAGAGGAGGAAAAAUUCAAAACUCACGACAAAGAGUAGCAGAAGCAACGAUGGAAGCAACCAAACACAAGCAGAACAUAAGAACUUGUAUGGUGUUGAUUGUCAAGAAGACUUCAUAAAAUAGUGAAGGUUCAAUAGGAAGAGGAAGAGCAAUUGCAGGCAAAACAGUAGAAGCCGAAAAUUGGAUUGGUCUACGGAAGAGCAAAUGAAGAAGAGAAUAUGAGCACUGAGUAGCUUCUGGAAAUUCGAUAAAAACGAAGGAACGUUCGAAAAUACCAUUAAUCUCCCAAUUAGCAGAGCUUUAAGUCAUAGAGGAGAGGUCAAAUUGGCAAAGCGUAAGAGGAAUUUUUUUGAAAUCCCUAUAUUACC